UACGUAGGGGGCAAGCGUUGUCCGGAUUCAUUGGCGUAAAGAGCGUGUAGGCGGCCAGGUAGGUCGGUUGUGAAAACUGGAGGCUCAACCUUCAGAGGUCGACCGAAACCAUCUGGCUAGAGUCCGGGAGAGGAGAGUGGAAUUCCUGGUGUAGCGGUGAAAUGCGCAGAUAUCAGGAAGAACACCCGGUGGCGAAAGGCG
rnacentral:rRNA from 1 species